UACAGAGGUCUCAAGCGUUGUUCGGAUUUAUUGGGCGUAAAGGGUGCGUAGGCGGCUAGGUAAGUUGGGUGUGAAAUAUCUCGGCUUAACCGAGAAAUUGCACUCAAUACUGCCUGGCUUGAGCACUAGAGAAGGGGCUGGAAUUUACGGUGUAGCAGUGAAAUGCGUAGAUAUCGUAAGGAACGCCAGUGGCGAAAGCGAGCCUCUAGAUAGUUGCUGACGCUGAGGCACGAAAGCUAGGGGAGCAAACGGG
rnacentral:rRNA from 1 species